CCUCAAGUGAUCUGCCUCCCAAAAUGCUGGGAUUACAGGCGUGAACCAGUGAGCCACCACACCCAGCCUCCUGGAUCCUUUCUAAAGGACCAAACUUUCCAGAAGGCGUCCAGGGAGUGGCCAGGAGCCGUCCUCACUUCCUUCUUGGAACCCAGGCAUCCAGAAUCACCAUCCCUCCUUCCCAAGCCUUCACGGUUUCCCAUUUCAUCUGGCCCUAAGGAUGGCAGCCUCCUCCAGGAAGUUGGCGUCAUCUGCCUGGCACGUGGCCCAGGGUGUGGCCUGAGGGGACCAGAAACUCCACUAUAUAGCCCUGCCACAGGGCUGGCCCUGCAGCUCCAGGGACCUGCAGGUGAGAAGGGCUGGGGUCCCCUUUGGAAGUGGAACAGCAGGUCCCCUACUCUUGCUCCUGGCUUUAGGCCUCCUCAUCCUACCCCUAGACCCACAAGACAGCCAACUCCCCACCCCGUCCCUGGCUACUGCCCUCCCCACCCGACCUCCAGACCCACUGGACAGCCAGCCUCCCCUAUACACACACUGGUCCUUGGAUCCAUACCCCCGGUCCAAUCUGCCUGACUUCUUUCCCCACCUCAGCCUUCAUGGUCCCAGGUGGCCCUUGUCAUAAGAGUGGGCCCUUCUGCCGAGGACAGUCUCCAGCAGAGGCAGUGACUCAGCCUCCUAUGAUCCCUUCUCUUUUCCUACUGCAGCCAUGGGUGCCCUGUGGAGCUGGUGGAUACUCUGGGCUGGAGCAACCCUCCUGUGGGGUAAGUCAGACCAAGACCCUCUCCAUGUCCUUGUUCCAAUCUGGGGAACUCUGCCUGGGUCCACGCCUUCCAUGUGUGCCUCCUCCACAUGUCACCCCAGGCUAGCUGAGGCAGGAGAGAGGCCCUUAGGCUCUGCAGAGGGAUGUGGUAGAAUUCACCGAUUCUCACCCUUUUCUGGAUGGGAGCACUGGUGAAAACCUCAGUCCCCAAACUCAAGUGUGCACAAACUGUCUUGGUUUUCUGCAACUCAACUAAGGUUUUGACUCUGAGCCUCAUUCUGCUGAGUUGAUGGAAAAUUUCACGGAAGUCGUUUUUGGAGGGUGUCGUCCCCAAUUCUCCCAGGGAUGUGUCCGGAAGUAAAAUUUUAGCCAAAGUACUGGGGUGAGGAUGGGAUAUGAGGGCCCUCUAGUCACCAGUCAGCAUCCAUCUAGGCUACUUUUGAAAUGUCCAUUUUCCCUGAUCCCCUGGCCCCCUGGGAUAUCCUUCAAGAUCCCCUUUAUAUGGAAGGUGGUCAUUACAUAGUCCCCGCCCCCUCCCACUCUCUUCAAGAUUCCUUAGACCUCUCUCUCUCUCUUCUCAGCUCCAGGGAUGCUCUUCCUAGUUGGGGGUGGUCAGAAGCCUUCACUACCAUCUGUUUCUAGGAGACAAUUCAUCCACCCUUCCAUAAUCCCCUUCUUCUCUUUAUCCCCUUUUCACAAACCCCCAAGUCCCAUUAUUAUUGUUGUUGUUGUUAUUAUUAUUAUUAUUAUUAUUUGAGAUGGAGUUUCGCUCUUGUUGCCUAGACUGGAGUGCGAUGGUGCAAUCUCAGCUAAUUGCAACCUCCACCUCCUGGGUUGAAGUGAUUCUCCUGCCUCAGCCUCCCUGGUUGCUGGGAUUACAGGCGCCCCACGCCACCAUGUCCGGCUCAUUUUGUAUUUUUAGUAGAGAUGGAAAUUCACCAUGUUGGUCAGUCUGGUCAUGAACUCCUGACCUCAAGUGAUCCACCCACCUUGGCCUCCCAAAGUGCUGGGAUUACAGGCGAGAGCCACCGUGUCUGGUCCCUACAAGUCCUAUUAAGAUAAAAAUCAGCUGGGUGCAGUGGGUCACGCCUGUAAUCCCAGCGCUUCAGGAGGCUGAGGCAGGAGGAUCACUUGAGCCCAGGAGUUCAAGACCAGCUUGGGCAACAAAGUGAGACCCUGCCUCUAGAAAAAAUUUUUAAAAAAAUGAGCCAGGCACAUAGUGCGUGUCUGUGGUCCCAGCUAUACUGGAAGCUGAGACAGGAGGAUCGCUUGAGCCCAGGAGGUUGAGGCUGCAGUGUGUUGUGUUUAAGCCACUGCACUCCAGUUUGCAAAAAGAUGAAAAUCAUGCAUACACCAGCAGCAGAGUACAUUCACCUUGAGCCCCAAAGUGCUUUAAAACAGUUGUGGGUUGGAGAUUUCACAUGAAAAUUCAGAUAGCCAGUUUCUCUUUAAAAACAGAAAGAACAUCCAGGUGUGGUGGCUCACGCCUGUAAUCCCAGCACUCUGGGAGACCGAGGCAGGUGGAUCACCUGAGGUCAGGAAUUUGAGACCAGACUGGCCAACAUGGUGAAACCAUGUCUUUACUAAAAAUACAGAAAUUAGCCGGGCAUGGAAACCAGGAGGCGGAGGUUGCAGUGAGCCGCGAUCGUGCCACUGCACUCCAGCCUGGGUGACAGAGUGAGACUCCAUCUCAAAGGGGGGAAAGAAAGAAAAAAUACAAAAGUUAGCUGUGCAUGGUGGCACAUGCCUGUAGUCCCAGUACUCAGGAGGCUGAGGCAGUAGAAUCACUCGAACCUGAGAGGCAGAGGUUCUGGAGAGCCGAGAUCACGCUACUGCACUCCAGCCUGGGUGACAGAGCGAGACUCCGUCUCAAAAGAAAAAGAAAAAAGAAAAACAGAAAGGUCUUACAAUUUAAAAAAGCUCACAUUCUUUCAUUAUAACAGUUGAAAGCUAGUUCCAACAACCCACUUUAUUUUUUUUUACUAGUUUAUAUAUUUUUAAAAUUUUUAAUUUUUAUGGGUACAUAGUAGUUGUCUGCAUUUAUGGAGUACCUGUGAUAUUUUGAUACAGGCAUACAGUGUGUAAUGAUAAAAUCAGGGUAACUAGGGCAUCCGUCACCUCAAGCAUUUGUCAUUUCUUUGUGUUAGGAACAUUCCAAUUCCACUCUCAGUUAUUUUAAAAUAUACCAUAAAUUAUUCUCAAUAAUAGUCAUCCUGUUCCGCUACCAAAUACUGGAUUUUAUCCAUUUUAUCUAACUGUUUAACUGUAUUUUUGUUUCCAUUAACCAUAUCUGCUUAUCCCCCACUCCCCACUAUCCUUUCCAGCCUCUGGUAACCAUCAUUUUCACUCUCUAUUUCUUUUUUCUUUUUCUUUUUUGUGAGCAACAGGGCUGUUUAUUUCACCUGGGUGCAGGCGGGCUGAGUCCGAAAAGAGAGUCAACAAAGGGUGGUGGGAUUAUCAUUGGUUCUUAUAGGUUUUGUGAUAGGUGGUGAAGUUAAGAGCAAUGUUUUGGGGGCAGGGGGUGA
rnacentral:lncRNA from 1 species